GCCCUUAGAGUUUGAUCCUGGCUCAGAACGAACGCUGGCGGCAGGCCUAACACAUGCAAGUCGAGCGCACUCUUCGGAGUGAGCGGCGGACGGGUUAGUAACGCGUGGGAACAUACCCUUUUCUAUGGAAUAGCCUCGGGAAACUGAGAGUAACACCGUAUACGCCCUUCGGGGGAAAGAUUUAUCGGUGAAGGAUUGGCCCGCGUUUGAUUAGAUAGUUGGUGGGGUAAUGGCCUACCAAGUCUACGAUCAAUAGCUGGUUUGAGAGGAUGAUCAGCAACACUGGGACUGAGACACGGCCCAGACUCCUACGGGAGGCAGCAGUGGGGAAUCUUAGACAAUGGGCGCAAGCCUGAUCUAGCCAUGCCGCGUGAGUGACGAAGGCCUUAGGGUCGUAAAGCUCUUUCGCCAGAGAUGAUAAUGACAGUAUCUGGUAAAGAAACCCCGGCUAACUCCGUGCCAGCAGCCGCGGUAAAAGGGCG
rnacentral:rRNA from 1 species